ACCCUAUUAUUAAAAUUGUAAAAAGUAAUACUUAGGUAGUAUUAGAUAUGUUCUUGAAACCUAAAAAAUUUGGCGGUAUUUUAAACUAUUCAGAGGAACCUGUUCUGUAAUCGAUAAUCCACGAUGGACCUUUCUUAAAUUUGUUUAUCAGUCUAUAUAUCGUUGUUAUAAAAAUUUUUGAAGAAUAAUUAAUUUUUAAUAUUUUUUAAAAAAAUUAAUAUCAAAUCAAGGUGUAGCUUAUAUUUAAGUAGAAAUGGGUUACAAUAAAUUUAUUUUUUGGAUUUAAAUUUGAAAUUUUUAAUGAAAUUGGAUUUGAAAGUAAAAUUAUAAAGAUUAAUAAUUUGACUAUAGCUCUAAAAUAUGUACAUAUCGCCCGUCACUCUUAUUAUUAAGGUAAGAUAAGUCGUAAC
rnacentral:rRNA from 1 species